UUUCUUUCUUUCUUUUUUGUCGAGUGAUAGACAGAGAGACAACAUGAUCUGUGAAUUCCUAGGGGCUUAUGGCAGCAAAUAUUGUAGUGAAAACUACCAGAGAAACAAAAUGUAUGGACAGAAGUAGCCUCUUUUAUUAGGAUGACUGGUACAAUUGGAAAAAACAGUUAAGGAUUUGGGUCAAAACCACUUUCAUAGGCCCAAGAUAGGUCUAUAUAUUGAGGACAGUUUGUGUGCAUGGCAGCUUGUUAUUUGUGCUUUUUAUUAUGUGUUGUUUUGUUGUUGGUUUUUCUCUCCACUAGAACAGUGAGAGCAUGAGAGGUAUUGUGCUUUAUUUGUAAAUAGUUGCUUGACGUUUCUUAAAUCAUCAAAAUAAGAUGAUGUCCAUCUAUCACCAGUUUAAUGAGUAUCUAUCACCACUCUGAUCAAACUUGGACAAUAAUUUACCAUCUCCUGUUGUCCAAAGGAAAAGUAUCUCUAUUAACACAGUUAGAUUAUACCUCCAUGCAUUUUAGGAAUAUUUUUCUGGAUCUGUUACUUUGUGCCUCAGUUGUAUUCACUUUCUGUGAGCAAAGAAAUCUUCACAAAAAUAAAUAUAUUUUAAGAUGGAAAUGGUUUUAUUGCAUGAUGGUCACAGAAAUUUUGUCUUAUAAAAGAGUCUAACUUGGUUACAGCAUGAAAGAUUCCUAUUUUUUCUCCCUGUUUUCCUAUACCAGACCUGAGAAGAAGGCAGUUGUACUGUGUGUACAGAAAUAUCACCUCUGAGACUUUAGGACAUGUUCCUAUUAUCUAGUGUGGGUAAACAUUAGGUGUUGUACUCCAAAAGGCAUGGACAGCUAGAUGGAGACCAAGGGAGAUCUCUGACUCUGAUCAAAGUUGAACAUUAUAUCUUACAAGCAAUGUAUGAAGGAAUUUUAAUUGUUUAGUCUACAGCAGAAUAAAAAGGAUUUUCAAUAGCAGUCAUCACAUGCGUGAGGGUGGCAGCAAGAAGAAAGACAAGAAAUUCCUCUGUCCUUUGUGCAUAAAAGGAAAAGUAAUUUAAACAGGGAAGUAUCUCCUUAGGUAGCAGAAUUUUAAGAAUAUUGUCACUCUUGCAAUAACGAAUCAUUGAGACAGAGUUUCUGGGGAAAUUGUGCUGCCCAAUCACCAAUGGCCCAAGAACGUGUUAGGAAAACAAAUGCAAGGAACGGUGUAUAUGUAGUUAUAUGCCAUACUGUGGCUGAGAUGAAUCAAUUAGAAAAGUUCUUAGUGUCCCUUACACAGCUCUUUUCUCUGAGCAUAUGAUUGAUGAGUGCAUGGUGAAUGGCAAAAAGCACACAGAAAAGAUGUCUUCCAAAACCCUCUGGCUCUCCUUACCUGAAUGCUUGGCAAUCAACAAAGGAUUUUUUCCUUUAAAAUGUUUCAGUGUCUUUUAUCUGAGUCCUGACUGUUAUGGUAUAUUGGUUGUACUGGCACAACUCAACCACCCUCACAAGGAUGAGUAACUUGAUUUCAAAAGUGUAUUGUUAGAUUAUAAUAUUAUUGCUGAAUAGAAUGAGAUCACUGAUUCAAUGAAAAUAAAGCUCCGGGUGAAAUGAGUUUGCACAACAUCCUAGUGGACAUUUCUGAGCCUAGAUAGGCCCCCUCAGCAACACAGUCAUUUGCUCAAACGUCUGUUCCUGCUUGCGACAGAUCUGAAAAAUCACAUUUCGUGAAGAGACUAAACCUGCUUGGACAGUGACAAAUAAUUUGAAAAUAACUGGUCUGACCGGGUGUUCGAAUUGUUGACAGAAGGGAAAUGGUAAUGUGUGCAAUAAGAGCAGAAGAUGAAAGCCUUUCCCUGGCACUCUUCUUGCAGUAAAGCCCUUUCUCUGACCUGUGGCCUCACCAAAUGACCUGUGGGCAGAGAAAAGGGAGUGGAAAGAAACAGCUUCUCCUAGACAUUCUUUUCUGAAGAAAACUCUGCUACAGAUGCUGCAUUUGUACAUUGCUACAUUGCUCCUACAUUGCUUGCUAUCUAUCUGCAAAGAGUUAGUGAAGUGGUCUGGAAAUCCAGAUACUUUUUGUUGUUUUUAUCUCUUUUUUUUUUUUUUUUUUUAACAAUAAUUGUCUUCAUUGUAGCCUACUUAGUCCAAACAAGGCUUACAUAUUUCACAUGUUCUGACGUUAAGUAAGUCUUUCCAAAAUAAAACAGAAGAUUGACAGAAUGUCAUUAACAUCAGGCCAAUAAUCGUGUACAGUCUGUAAAGUAAUGUUAAUAUUUGUGCUGAACUGUGCCAGAUCUUAGCCUCUUCUCGUAAGUCAGAUGCUCCACCCCUUUAGCCAUCUUUAUAACUAUUCUCUGGACUCCCUCCAGUAAGUACUAUCUUUUUUUGUACCAGUAAAUCCAGAACUGAACACAGCGCUCCAAAUGUUUCACACUUAUGGAUAAGCAGAAGGGAAAGAUCACCUUUCUCGACUGCCGAUAAUGACCCCACUCAUGCAGUUUGCUGUGCUUGUGGCCUUUGACAUGAAGGCUUAUUUUCUGCAUACUGUUCAGGCAUCAGCUUCUAGUGUACACCACUAGUAACUGGCUUCCAGCUGGACUUUGUGCCACAGUUCACCUACUCUUUAAACUAGGCAGUUCUGACAGUUUUCAGUGUAGCUCACUGCCCAC
rnacentral:lncRNA from 1 species